UACGAAGGGGGCGAGCGUUGUUCGGAAUUACUGGGCGUAAAGGGCGUGUAGGCGCUCCUUUUGUCGCGUGUGAAAGCCCCGGGCUCAACCUGGGAAUUGCGCGCGAAACGGGGGGGCUUGAGUUCGGGAGAGGAGCGUGGAAUUCCCAGUGUAGAGGUGAAAUUCGUAGAUAUUGGGAAGAACACCGGUGGGCGAAAGGCGGCGCUCUGGACCGAGACUGACGCUGAGGCGCGAAAGCGUGGGGAGCAAACAGG
rnacentral:rRNA from 1 species